rnacentral:rRNA from 1 species
GACGAACGCUGGCGGCGUGCUUAACACAUGCAAGUCGAACGGUAAGGCUCCAGCUUGCUGGGGUACACGAGUGGCGAACGGGUGAGUAACACGUGGGUGACCUGCCCUGCACUUCGGGAUAAGCCUGGGAAACUGGGUCUAAUACCGGAUAGGACCAUGGUGUGGAUACUGUGGUGGAAAGUUUUUUCGGUGUGGGAUGGGCCCGCGGCCUAUCAGCUUGUUGGUGGGGUAAUGGCCUACCAAGGCGGCGACGGGUAGCCGGCCUGAGAGGGUGGACGGCCACAUUGGGACUGAGACACGGCCCAGACUCCUACGGGAGGCAGCAGUGGGGAAUAUUGCACAAUGGGCGGAAGCCUGAUGCAGCAACGCCGCGUGGGGGAUGACGGCCUUCGGGUUGUAAACUCCUUUCACCAUCGACGAAGGGUUUCUGACGGUAGAAGGAGAAGAAGCACCGGCUAACUACGUG